CACGUAGGGUGCGAGCGUUGUCCGGAAUUAUUGGGCGUAAAGAGCUCGUAGGCGGUGUGUCGCGUCGGCCGUGGAAACCUGCAGCUUAACUGUGGGCUUGCGGUCGAUACGGGCAUCACUGGAGUUCGGCAGGGGAGACUGGAAUUCCCGGUGUAGCGGUGAAAUGCGUAGAUAUCGGGAGGAACAUCAGUGGCGAAGGCGGCUGCCUGGCCCAAUACUGACACUCAGGUGCGACAGCGUGGGGAGCAAACAGG
rnacentral:rRNA from 1 species